rnacentral:rRNA from 1 species
UACGUAGGGUGCAAGCGUUGUCCGGAUUUAUUGGGCGUAAAGAGCGUGUAGGCGGCCAUGCAGGUCAGCUGUGAAAUCUCGAGGCUCAACCUCGAGACGUCGGUUGAAACCGUAUGGCUAGAGUCCGGAAGAGGAGAGUGGAAUUCCCGGUGUAGCGGUGAAAUGCGCAGAUAUCGGGAAGAACACCCGUGGCGAAGGCGGCUCUCUGGGACGGUACUGACGCUGAGGCGCGAAAGCGUGGGGAGCGAACAGG